CAUGAGUUAUGUCAUGUUAUCGAUAUGUGAAUACAUAGCAUAUCAGAAGGCACACCCGGAGAACUGAAACAUCUUAGUACCCGGAGGAAGAGAAAGAAAAAUCGAUUCCCUUAGUAGCGGCGAGCGAAACGGGAAGAGCCCAAACCAACAAGCUUGCUUGUUGGGGUUGUAGGACACUCUAUACGGAGUUACAAAGGACGACAUUAGACGAAUCAUCUGGAAAGAUGAAUCAAAGAAGGUAAUAAUCCUGUAGUCGAAAAUGUUGUCUCUCUUGAGUGGAUCCUGAGUACGACGGAGCACGUGAAAUUCCGUCGGAAUCUGGGAGGACCAUCUCCUAAGGCUAAAUACUCUCUAGUGACCGAUAGUGAACCAGUACCGUGAGGGAAAGGUGAAAAGCACCCCGGAAGGGGAGUGAAAUAGAACCUGAAACCGUGUGCUUACAAGUAGUCAGAGCCCGUUAAUGGGUGAUGGCGUGCCUUUUGUAGAAUGAACCGGCGAGUUACGAUUUGAUGCAAGGUUAAGCAGUAAAUGUGGAGCCGUAGCGAAAGCGAGUCUGAAUAGGGCGUUUAGUAUUUGGUCGUAGACCCGAAACCAGGUGAUCUACCCUUGGUCAGGUUGAAGUUCAGGUAACACUGAAUGGAGGACCGAACCGACUUACGUUGAAAAGUGAGCGGAUGAACUGAGGGUAGCGGAGAAAUUCCAAUCGAACCUGGAGAUAGCUGGUUCUCUCCGAAAUAGCUUUAGGGCUAGCCUCAAGUGAUGAUUAUUGGAGGUAGAGCACUGUUUGGACGAGGGGCCCCUCUCGGGUUACCGAAUUCAGACAAACUCCGAAUGCCAAUUAAUUUAACUUGGGAGUCAGAACAUGGGUGAUAAGGUCCGUGUUCGAAAGGGAAACAGCCCAGACCACCAGCUAAGGUCCCAAAAUAUAUGUUAAGUGGAAAAGGAUGUGGCGUUGCCCAGACAACUAGGAUGUUGGCUUAGAAGCAGCCAUCAUUUAAAGAGUGCGUAAUAGCUCACUAGUCGAGUGACACUGCGCCGAAAAUGUACCGGGGCUAAACAUAUUACCGAAGCUGUGGAUUGUCCUUUGGACAAUGGUAGGAGAGCGUUCUAAGGGCGUUGAAGCAUGAUCGUAAGGACAUGUGGAGCGCUUAGAAGUGAGAAUGCCGGUGUGAGUAGCGAAAGACGGGUGAGAAUCCCGUCCACCGAUUGACUAAGGUUUCCAGAGGAAGGCUCGUCCGCUCUGGGUUAGUCGGGUCCUAAGCUGAGGCCGACAGGCGUAGGCGAUGGAUAACAGGUUGAUAUUCCUGUACCACCUAUAAUCGUUUUAAUCGAUGGGGGGACGCAGUAGGAUAGGCGAAGCGUGCGAUUGGAUUGCACGUCUAAGCAGUAAGGCUGAGUAUUAGGCA
rnacentral:rRNA from 1 species